GGUCUGCACAAAAAAGCUAAUGUCAACAAUAACAAUUUAAUAUCAAAAACCUUAAUAUAACAAUAUUAGACAGAACUUUCAAUACAUUUAGAUAAUCAAAUAGUCACAGAGUUAUAACUCUAUUACUAACCGUACAUUGAAAUAAGUCCCGCCUCCCUACUAACCUACUAUGUACUAUACACGGUCUCCACGCCGACGCCUUUUAACAAAUCAUAUUCCUAGAAAUGAAUAGUAGGUUCGAUAAAUUCUAUUAUUGAGUAUACGUGGAUGUGCCAAAAAGAUCGUUCAUAAUUUUUUGAGUUUUAUAUAGAAUUACUCUUCUUUUUAAUGACACUCUAU
rnacentral:lncRNA from 1 species